AGGACGAACGCUGGCGGCGUGCCUAACACAUGCAAGUCGAACGCGCUCCAUUCGGUAGCAAUACUGAUGAAGAGUGAGUGGCGAACGGGUGAGUAACACAUGAGCAACCUGCCCCGAAGACUGGGACAACACCGGGAAACCGGUGCUAAUACCGGAUAUCCCUAUCGGACCGCAUGAUCUGAUAAGGAAAUGGAUUCCGCUUCGGGAGGGGCUCGUGGCCUAUCAGCUAGUUGGUGAGGUAACGGCUCACCAAGGCAUCGACGGGUAGCUGGUCUGAGAGGACGAUCAGCCACACUGGGACUGAGACACGGCCCAGACUCCUACGGGAGGCAGCAGUGGGGAAUCUUGCGCAAUGGGCGAAAGCCUGACGCAGCAACGCCGCGUGGAGGACGAAGGCUUUCUGAGUUGUAAACUCCUUUCAGCAGGGACGAUAGUGACGGUACCUGCAGAAGAAGCACCGGCCAACUACGCGCCAGCA
rnacentral:rRNA from 1 species